rfam:Hydrogenophaga sp. PBC, complete genome.
GGAGCAGCAACGAUGUUACGCAGCAGGGCAGUCGCCCUAAAACAAAGUUAGAUGCACUAAGCACAUAAUUGCUCA